rnacentral:lncRNA from 1 species
UUGAACCUUGUUAGAUAUGGUUCAGUCCACUGUGAGAUUUGCUAGUCUGUCUGAGGUUAUGUUUUAGAUUACUUGAUAUGUGCUCGAGAACAUUCUAAGCAAAUUGAUCACCAAAACUUCAUAUGGAAUAUAGACUUGGAUAAUUCGAUACUCUCUUACUUUAAUAUUUGGGAUGUCGAACUUAUGUGAAAUAUUCACAAACUGACUAGCUUAGAUCUUGAUCUGAUAAAUAUUAUUUUAGAGAUAUUUCUUCUACCUUCCUGAUGGAUAUGAGAUGUUCAUGAAUUUUAAGAUAUUUUUUUUGAAAAAGAAGUUUCUUGGUGAAGGAAUUGAUGCCAUUAAAACCAAGCUUGGUAAAGCUUGAAAGGUAGAGGAACCAACUCUGAUACAAACCAAUAGAACUGGAAUGGAUUAGAUCAAUUUUGGAGCCCGAUGUAAAGA